rnacentral:rRNA from 1 species
UACGUAGGGUGCGAGCGUUAAUCGGAAUUACUGGGCGUAAAGCGUGCGCAGGCGGUUUUGUAAGCCAGAUGUGAAAUCCCCGGGCUUAACCUGGGAAUGGCAUUUGGGACUGCAAGGCUGGAGUGCGGCAGAGGAGACUGGAAUUCCUGGUGUAGCAGUGAAAUGCGUAGAUAUCAGGAGGAAUACCGAUGGCGAAGGCAGGUCUCUGGGCUGACACUGACGCUCAUGCACGAAAGCUAGGGGAGCAAACAGG